GAUUUAUGCAAGUCAAUGUACGAUUCAAGGCAACCGUGGUAUCCUUUUUGGACGGGACACGUUAAGAACGUCGAGGAUGUCAUGGACAAAUGUGUAAAUCCUGGGACAAAACUAAUCUAUGAAACUUACAACAUGAGUCCGACCUUUAACAUGAAAACAAUCCGAGAAGGGCUUUACAAAGUCCACUAUAACUUACAUGCUUUUGAUUCCGACGGUACUGAGCGGCCUACAAACAUAUGUUUCGACGUUGUUGGAAACUUACUAAAAAAAAGUGGUGUGUGACUGACGUUCCAUAAGAAAUCCAUGUGAAGACAAAAUGUCUUCCAUGCGGAAAGCUUGCUUGCAAUUGGCAAUGAAGAAAUAAACAAAGAAAUAAGCAAGAACAUUAAUUAUUUUACUAAAAUAUGUACGAAAUUUAUUAUUGGUUUAAUGCGUACAAAUUAAAGGUUUAAAUUUAUA